AAUAAUUAAAAUUUCUAAAUAAAAUUCUAAUCUUCUUAUUCUACAUUACAUGAGCCUUGGAUGCUUAUGUGGUAAUCUAGGGUUUGGAAAUGAGGAUUUAAUGCUCUAGUACUACAUAGGGUUUGAGGCUAGUGGAUUCAUUAGUUAGGUUUGGAACAUUUCUGAAUUUGACUGUUAGAGUAUGACUUUUCAAAAUAUGGUUUCUGAAUUUUUCAUUUUUACAAUCAAGUCCCUCAACUUUCUCCCUUUUUCAAUUAAGUCAUUUUUUUCAUGAUUGCUAUCAAAUUGAUUGAGCUGGCUUUUUGUAUUCUAUAAAG
rnacentral:misc_RNA from 1 species